rnacentral:rRNA from 1 species
GGGUUGUGAGGUUAAGCGACUAAGCGUACACGGUGGAUGCCCUGGCAGUCAGAGGCGAUGAAGGGCGUGCUAAUCUGCGAUAAGCGCCGGUAAGGUGAUAUGAACCGUUAUAACCGGCGAUACCCGAAUGGGGAAACCCAGUGUGACUCGUCACACUAUCAUUAACUGAAUCCAUAGGUUAAUGAGGCGAACCGGGGGAACUGAAACAUCUAAGUACCCCGAGGAAAAGAAAUCAACCGAGAUUCCCCCAGUAGCGGCGAGCGAACGGGGAGGAGCCCAGAGCCUGAAUCAGCAUGUGUGUUAGUGGAAGCGUCUGGAAAGGCGCGCGAUACAGGGUGACAGCCCCGUACACAAAAGCGCAUGUGCUGUGAGCUCGAUGAGUAGGGCGGGACACGUGGUAUCCUGUCUGAAUAUGGGGGGACCAUCCUCCAAGGCUAAAUACUCCUGACUGACCGAUAGUGAACCAGUACCGUGAGGGAAAGGCGAAAAGAACCCCGGCGAGGGGAGUGAAAAAGAACCUGAAACCGUGUACGUACAAGCAGUGGGAGCACCCUUUGGGGUGUGACUGCGUACCUUUUGUAUAAUGGGUCAGCGACUUAUAUUCUGUAGCAAGGUUAACCGAAUAGGGGAGCCGGAGGGAAACCGAGUCUUAACCGGGCGUUAAGUUGCAGGGUAUAGACCCGAAACCCGGUGAUCUAGCCAUGGGCAGGUUGAAGGUUGGGUAACACUAACUGGAGGACCGAACCGACUAAUGUUGAAAAAUUAGCGGAUGACCUGUGGCUGGGGGUGAAAGGCCAAUCAAACCGGGAGAUAGCUGGUUCUCCCCGAAAGCUAUUUAGGUAGCGCCUCGUGAAUUCAUCUCCGGGGGUAGAGCACUGUUUCGGCUAGGGGGCCAUCCCGGCUUACCAACCCGAUGCAAACUGCGAAUACCGGAGAAUGUUAUCACGGGAGACACACGGCGGGUGCUAACGUCCGUCGUGAAGAGGGAAACAACCCAGACCGCCAGCUAAGGUCCCAAAGUCAUGGUUAAGUGGGAAACGAUGUGGGAAGGCCCAGACAGCCAGGAUGUUGGCUUAGAAGCAGCCAUCAUUUAAAGAAAGCGUAAUAGCUCACUGGUCGAGUCGGCCUGCGCGGAAGAUGUAACGGGGCUAAACCAUGCACCGAAGCUGCGGCAGCGACACUAUGUGUUGUUGGGUAGGGGAGCGUUCUGUAAGCCUGUGAAGGUGGCCUGUGAGGGUUGCUGGAGGUAUCAGAAGUGCGAAUGCUGACAUAAGUAACGAUAAAGCGGGUGAAAAGCCCGCUCGCCGGAAGACCAAGGGUUCCUGUCCAACGUUAAUCGGGGCAGGGUGAGUCGACCCCUAAGGCGAGGCCGAAAGGCGUAGUCGAUGGGAAACGGGUUAAUAUUCCCGUACUUGGUGUUACUGCGAAGGGGGGACGGAGAAGGCUAUGUUGGCCGGGCGACGGUUGUCCCGGUUUAAGCGUGUAGGUGUGUGUUCCAGGUAAAUCCGGUUCACUUUAACACUGAGGCGUGACGACGAGGCACUACGGUGCUGAAGCAACAAAUGCCCUGCUUCCAGGAAAAGCCUCUAAGCAUCAGGUAACAUCAAAUCGUACCCCAAACCGACACAGGUGGUCAGGUAGAGAAUACCAAGGCGCUUGAGAGAACUCGGGUGAAGGAACUAGGCAAAAUGGUGCCGUAACUUCGGGAGAAGGCACGCUGACAUGUAGGUGAAGUGAUUUACUCAUGGAGCUGAAGUCAGUCGAAGAUACCAGCUGGCUGCAACUGUUUAUUAAAAACACAGCACUGUGCAAACACGAAAGUGGACGUAUACGGUGUGACGCCUGCCCGGUGCCGGAAGGUUAAUUGAUGGGGUCAGCGCAAGCGAAGCUCCUGAUCGAAGCCCCGGUAAACGGCGGCCGUAACUAUAACGGUCCUAAGGUAGCGAAAUUCCUUGUCGGGUAAGUUCCGACCUGCACGAAUGGCGUAAUGAUGGCCAGGCUGUCUCCACCCGAGACUCAGUGAAAUUGAACUCGCUGUGAAGAUGCAGUGUACCCGCGGCAAGACGGAAAGACCCCGUGAACCUUUACUAUAGCUUGACACUGAACAUUGAGCCUUGAUGUGUAGGAUAGGUGGGAGGCUUUGAAGUGUGGACGCCAGUCUGCAUGGAGCC